ensembl:lncRNA MAP4K3-DT MAP4K3 divergent transcript
GUUCCGGCUCCGCGCGCCUGCCAGGCCGGGGCCGGCGGCGGAACAGCUUGGGACCCGAAACGCCUCGGCUUUUCUGCGGACCCGCGCCCGGCCGCUGCCGCCGGACGCUUGAAAAGAGGCAGAGUCUUGCUUUGUUGUCCAGGCUGGUCUUGAACUUCUGAGCUCAAGUGAUCCUCCCGCCUUGGCCUCCCAAAGUGCUGAGACUACAGAGAGAGAAUGCUAACGAGCUGUGAAAUGACCAAAGAUCUGGCAGCAGAAGGGAAAAGAAAAAAUAAUGGAAUAUUUUCUGUCUACAAUUGGUUGAAUCUGUGGAUGUGGAAACUGCAGAUACAGAUGGAGAGCCGACUAUACUAGCUUUUUGUUUCAUUUUUCACUUCUGGUGUGUGUGUGUGUGUGUGUGUGUGUGUGUGUGUGUGUGUAUCUGUGUGUGUGUUUUAUUAAUCUCUGUGCCUGCAUGUUAGUUUCUUCCUCUUUAUUUGGAUUUUCACUAACAUUCUUUUCAGCUUCUUCAGUUGGAUACUUGUUGCCAAUAUAUUUUUUUUCAUUCUAAGAAUUAAAUAAAUGGGCCAGGCGUGGUGGCUCAUGCCUGUAAUCCCAGCACUUUGGGAGGCCAAGAUGGGUGGAUCACAAGGUCAGGUGUUUGAGACCAGCUUGGCCAAAGCUGGUGAAACUCCAUCUCUACUAAAAAUACAAAAAUUAGCUGGGCAUGGUGGUGCGCGUCUAUAAUCCCAGCUACUCAGGAAGCUGAGGCAGGAGAAUCACUUGCACCCAAGAAGUGGAGGUUGCAGUGAGCCAAGAUUGCGCCAUUGCACCCCAGCCUGGGCAACACAGCGAGACUCCAUCUGAAAAAAAAAAAAAAGAAUAAAUGAAUGUAUUAAUCACCAAACUGCUCUUCAUCAGAAACUCUUAGCAGUGGUAUGUUGAGGUCUCCCUGCCUACCGUAUAUGUCUCUUAACUCUGCGGGUGCAAUAUUUUGUCAUGGGUCAGUUUAGCAAUAUUGUACUAUUUCCCAAUUUUCUAAGUGUGUUCAUUUCAGAGUUUAUCCUAUUCAUUGUUCUUUCUUUCUUUUAAAAAUUUCUAUGACUGAGCUG